ACCAAUUCUGGGAGGGGGUAAAAGGUUCCUCCUGGUAUAAUGGCUUGGACGCAACAAGGAAAUGUGGGCAUCCUGAUCAAUGGCCUCUUCCCGUGCCAUUUGAUCCUGGAAACCCCACAUACAUAA
rnacentral:snoRNA from 1 species